UUAUGCUUUUGGAGCNGCCGAUGUCUGAUUAGCUAGUUGGUAAGGUAAAAGCUUACCAAGGCGACGAUCAGUAGUUGGUCUGAGAGGACGACCAGCCACACUGGGACUGAGACACGGCCCAGACUCCUACGGGAGGCAGCAGUGGGGAAUUUUGGACAAUGGGCGNAAGCCUGAUCCAGCAAUGCCGCGUGAGUGAAGAAGGCUUCGGGUUGUAAAGCUCUUUCAGUCGAGAAGAAAAGAUUAUGACUAAUAAUCCUAAUUUAUGACGGUAUCGGCAGAAGAAGCACCGGCUAACUACGUGCCAGCAGCCGCGGUAAUACGUAGGGUGCAAGCGUUAAUCGGAAUUACUGGGCGUAAAGGGUGCGCAGGCGGCUCUGCAAGUCAGAUGUGAAAUCCCCGGGCUUAACCUGGGAACU
rnacentral:rRNA from 1 species